rnacentral:lncRNA from 1 species
GUCCCUGCCUGUGCCCCCUGGCUGACUCCCUCACACAUCAUCACUGCUUUAGUAGGUGGUAGGUGUUGGUGGUGUCCUUCACUGUCUGUCUUUUCUACCAGGAUGGUAUAUCUUCCCCACCUGCUGGGAGUGUCAGUUCCCAACAGCUCACUGCUAUGGUUCUCUGGAGAACUGUCCCUCAGCCAAUGGAAAUACAUUCCCCUGAAGAGGGGCAGGGAACCCUGGAUCAGAUCCUAUGAACAAACCCUUGUGUGUGCCAAUCACAUCCACAGCAUUGGUUCAAGUUGCUAUGACAGGUAUGUAUUGACAAACCACACAUAUGUUUUUAGAAGGGUUUUUAAAAAAUUCCAAAGCCUUACAUCUCAAUAUUUCAAAAGGCCUUUUAAUAUUAUUGUAUUUAAAGACUAGGGGGAAAAAAUCUGCGACUUACUGAAAAGCUCAAUACUCCAAAAGAUCUUUUUAGAACGUAGUGUAAAGGAUUAUAAUUAAAAAAAAAACUGUUAUUUAUUGAGAAUGUAUCCUUAUUGGGCAUAAGAAGUAAAAGUUCCCUUAUUAUCUCUCCUCUUAACUCACAAAUAUGUAGGCAACUGCCUUUUCUUCUGAUUCUUCCAUCCAUAGAAGUGCCUCUAGCAUGUGGACUGAUCUCCACACCUGCUUCUUUAUUCCUACUGCUUAGACUGAGGAUAUUUCAAAGGAUUGGUCAUGGACUCACACUCGCCCUGGUCAAUGCCCACUGUAGAAUGGUAGGAGGACUCUCGGGCAGGGAUGCCUCCUUCCGCACCUUUUGAACUGGGCCAUGCUUUGUGAUUAAUUUGCUUUAUCUUAGAACUCAUUGCAUUACCUCUGAAUAGACAUCUCAGUUGAGAUGAUGUUUCCUUUUCUUUUCUUUUUUUUAUAAUAAAUUUAUUUUUUAUUGGUGUUUAA